rnacentral:pre_miRNA from 1 species
UCNAUACUCCCUCCGUCCGGAAAUACUUGUCAUCAAAAUGGAUAAAAGGAAAUGUAUCUAGACAUAUUUUAGUUUUAGAUACAUCUCUUUUUAUCCAUUUUGAUGACAAGUAUUUUCGGACGAAGGGAGUAGAAA